UACGGAGGGUGCAAGCGUUGCUCGGAAUUAUUGGGCGUAAAGGGUAGGUAGGUGGUCUCGUUUGUCUGGGGUGAAAGCCUUGAGCUUAACUCAAGAAGUGCCUCAGAAACGGCGAGACUCGAGUAUUGGAGAGGGUCGUGGAAUUCCCGGUGUAGCGGUGAAAUGCGUAGAGAUCGGGAGGAACACCAGAGGCGAAGGCGGCGACCUGGACAAUUACUGACACUCAACUACGAAAGCGUGGGGAGCAAACAGG
rnacentral:rRNA from 1 species